GGGAACGUAUUCACCGCAGCGUUGCUGAUCUGCGAUUACUAGCGACUCCGACUUCAUGAGGUCGAGUUGCAGACCUCAAUCCGAACUGGGACCGGCUUUUUGGGAUUCGCUCCACCUUACGGUAUCGCAGCCCUUUGUACCGGCCAUUGUAGCAUGCGUGAAGCCCAAGACAUAAGGGGCAUGAUGAUUUGACGUCAUCCCCACCUUCCUCCGAGUUGACCCCGGCAGUAUCCCAUGAGUUCCCACCAUUACGUGCUGGCAACAUAGAACGAGGGUUGCGCUCGUUGCGGGACUUAACCCAACAUCUCACGACACGAGCUGACGACAACCAUGCACCACCUGUUCACGAGUGUCCAAAGAGUUGACCAUUUCUGGCCCGUUCUCGUGUAUGUCAAGCCUU
rnacentral:rRNA from 1 species